CAGCAGCCGCGGGAACACAGAGGGUGCGAGCGUUAAUCGGAUUUACUGGGCGUAAAGCGUGCGUAGGCGGCUUUUUAAGUCGGAUGUGAAAUCCCUGAGCUUAACUUAGGAAUUGCAUUCGAUACUGGGAAGCUAGAGUAUGGGAGAGGAUGGUAGAAUUCCAGGUGUAGCGGUGAAAUGCGUAGAGAUCUGGAGGAAUACCGAUGGCGAAGGCAGCCAUCUGGCCUAAUACUGACGCUGAGGUACGAAAGCAUGGGGAGCAAACAGGAUUAGAUACCCCGGUAGUCCCUGUCUCUUAUAC
rnacentral:rRNA from 1 species